rnacentral:rRNA from 1 species
UGGCCUUUUUCCAAUGCCUUAAACAUGCAGUCGAUUCAAGUUACCUUCGGGUAAUGAGGAUGGCGGACGGGUGAGUAACGCGUAAGGAACUUGCCUCUUGGACUGGGACAACUGUUGGAAACGACAGCUAAUACCGGAUAUUAUGAGAUUCUCGCAUGAGAAACUUAUGAAAGCUAUAUGCGCCAAGAGAGAGCCUUGCGUUCCAUUAGCUAGUUGGUGGGGUAACGGCCCACCAAGGCGACGAUGGAUAGCCGGCCUGAGAGGGUGAACGGCCACAAGGGGACUGAGACACGGCCCUUACUCCUACGGGAGGCAGCAGUGGGGAAUAUUGGACAAUGGACCAAAAGUCUGAUCCAGCAAUUCUGUGUGCACGAUGAAGGUCUUCGGAUUGUAAAGUGCUUUCAGUUGGGAAGAAGCAAGUGACGGUACCAACAGAAGAAGCGACGGCUAAAUACGUGCCAGCAGCCGCGGUAAUACGUAUGUCGCAAGCGUUAUCCGGAUUUAUUGGGCGUAAAGCGCGUCUAGGCGGAAAAAUAAGUCCGAUGUUAAAAUGCGGGGCUCAACUCCGUAUUGCGUUGGAAACUGUUUUUCUAGAGUACUGGAGAGGUGGGCGGAACUACAAGUGUAGAGGUGAAAUUCGUAGAUAUUUGUAGGAAUGCCGAUGGAGAAGUCAGCUCACUGGACAGAUACUGACGCUGAAGCGCGAAAGCGUGGGGAGCAAACAGGAUUAGAUACCCUGGUAGUCCACGCCGUAAACGAUGAUCACUAGGUGUUGGGGGUCGAACCUCAGCGCCCAAGCUAACGCGAUAAGUGAUCCGCCUGGGGAGUACGCACGCAAGGUGUGAAACUCAAAGGAAUUGACGGGGACCCGCACAAGCGGUGGAGCAUGUGGUUUAAUUCGGACGCAACGGCGAAGAAACCUUACCAGCGUUUGACAUCCUAAGAAGGUUUCCAGAGAUGGAAUUCGUGCCGGCUUGCCGGAACCUUAGUGAACAGGUGGGUGCAUGGCCUGUUCGUCACCUCCAUGGUCCGUGAA